AUACGUAGGUGGCGAGCGUUGUCCGGAAUUAUUGGGCGUAAAGAGUGAGCAGGCGGCAGUCAAAGUCUGGAGUUAAAACGUGUGGCUCAACCAUACGUUGCUUUGGAAACUAGACAGCUAGAGUGCAGGAGAGGUUAGCGGAAUUCCAUGUGUAGCGGUAAAAUGCGUAGAUAUAUGGAGGAACACCAGCGGCGAAGGCGGCUAACUGGCCUGUAACUGACGCUCAGUCACGAAAGCGUGGGGAGCAAAUAGGAUUAGAUACCCUAGUAGUCCACGCCGUAAACGAUGAGUACUAAGUGUUGGGAAACCAGUGCUGAAGUUAACGCAUUAAGUACUCCGCCUGAGAAGUACGUUCGCAAGAAUGAA
rnacentral:rRNA from 1 species